CCUACGGGUGGCAGCAGUGGGGAAUAUUGGACAAUGGGGGGAACCCUGAUCCAGCGACGCCGCGUGAGUGAAGAAGUCUUUCGGUAUGUAAAGCUCUAUCAGCAGGGAAGAAAAUGACGGUCCCUGACUAAGAAUCCCCGGCUAACUACGUGCCAGCAGCCGCGGUAAUACGGAGGGGGCAAGCGUUAUCCGGAUUUACUGGGUGUAAAGGGGGCGUAGACGGUUCAGCAAGUCUGAUGUGAAAGGUCGGGGCCCAACCCCGGGACUGCAUUGGAAACUGUCGAACUGGAGUGCAGGAGAGGUAAGCGGAAUUCGUAGUGUAGCGGUGAAAUGCGUAGAUAUUAGGAGGAACACCAGUGGCGAAGGCGGCGUACUGGACUGUAACUGACGUUGAGGCUCGAAAGCGUGGGGAGCAAACAGGAUUAGAUACCCGAGUAGUC
rnacentral:rRNA from 1 species